ACCCAGUAAAGCCAAAAAAGCAGAGACUAAACCUCGUACCUUUUGCAUCAUGAUUUAGCAAGUAUACCCAGGCAAAAAGAAUUUUAGUCUGGCCCCCCGAAACCAAGUGAGCUACUCCAAGACAACCCUGCAGCCCAGGGUAAAUCCGUCUCUGUGGCAAAAGAGUGGAAAGAGCUUUGAGUAGAGGUGACAGACCUAUCGAACUUGGUAAUAGCUGGUUGCUUGAGAAACGAAUAGGAGUUCUGCUUUUUAUGUUCUUACCCCAACUUAACACCUUCCUUUCCCUUAGCAGUAAAGAGAAUAAGAAAAUAAAAAAGUUAUUCAGAGGGGGUACAGCCCCUUUGAAAUAAGAUACAACUUUUCCAGGUGGGUAAAGAUCAUAAUCUUUUAAGGUAAUUAUGUUUCGGUGGGCCUGAAAGCAGCCAUCCCCAUAGAAUGCGUUAAAGCUCUAACAUACUCCCCCCCUCUGAUUCCGAUAACAAAUCUUAGCCCCCUAAUUUAUAUCAAGCCGUCCCAUACAGACAUGGGAGUGAUUAUGCUAAAAUGAGUAACCAGAGAACACAACUUCUCUCCCCGCACACGUGUAACUCGGAACGGACCCCCCACCGAAAACUAACGGCCCCAAACAGCAGAGGGUACUGGAUAAUGAUUACCAAACAAGAAAACCAUCCAAAACAUCACCGUUAACCCCACACUGGAGUGCUUCAAAGGAAAGACUAAAAGGAAAAGAAGGAACUCGGCAAACAUUUACAGCCUCGACUGUUUACCAAAAACAUCGCCUCUUGCUCAUCACAUAUAAGAGGUCACGCCUGCCCAGUGACACUCCAGUUUAACGGCCGCGGUAUUUUGACCGUGCAAAGGUAGCGUAAUCACUUGUCUUCUAAAUGAGGACCUGUAUGAAUGGCAUAACGAGGGCUUAACUGUCUCCUUUCCCCAGUCAGUGAAAUUGAUCUUCCCGUGCAGAAGCGGGAAUUAAAACAUAAGACGAGAAGACCCUAUGGAGCUUUAGACUACAGAACCGACCAUGUCAGCUACCCCCCUUAAACGAGUAGUAAUUAUUGAAAUCUGUUCCCUUGUCUUUGGUUGGGGCGACCACGGGGAACAAAAAAACCCCCAUGUGGACCGGGAGCACACAACUCCUAUAACCACGAGCCACAGCUCUAAUGCGCAGAACUUCUGACCAAUAUGACCCGGCAAAGCCGAUCAACGGACCGAGUUACCCUAGGGAUAACAGCGCAAUCCUCUUUAAGAGUUCCUAUCGACAAGGGGGUUUACGACCUCGAUGUUGGAUCAAGACAUCCUAAUGGUGCAACCGCUAUUAAGGGUUCGUUUGUUCAACGAUUAAAGUCUU
rnacentral:rRNA from 1 species